UUAGGAAUAUUCGUCAAUGGGGGAAACCCUGAACGAGCAAUGCCGCGUGAAGGAUGACGGUCCUAUGGAUUGUAAACUUCUGUUGUUAGGGAAGAACGACCUAAGUAGGAAAUGACUUAGGAGUGACGGUACCUUUCAAGAAAGCUCCGGCUAACUACGUGCCAGCAGCCGCGGUAAUACGUAGGGAGCGAGCGUUAUCCGGAUUUAUUGGGUGUAAAGGGUGCGUAGGCGGCUUCUUAAGUCUGUAGUCUAAGCCCGGAGCUUAACUCCGGUUCGCUACAGAAACUGAUUAGCUUGAGUAUGGUAGAGGCAAGUGGAAUUUCUAGUGUAGCGGUUAAAUGCGUAGAUAUUAGAAGGAACACCAGUGGCGAAGGCGACUUGCUGGGCCAUUACUGACGCUGAGGCACGAAAGCGUGGGGAGCAAAUAGG
rnacentral:rRNA from 1 species